UACGAGUGCUUCAAGCGUUAUCCGGAAUCAUUGGGCGUAAAGGGUGUGUAGGCGGUUAUGUUAGUCUUUCGUUAAAUUCUUCGGCUCAACCGGGGGCAUGCGGAGGAAACGGCAUAACUUGAGGAUGGAAGGGGUCUCUGGAACUCAUGGUGUAGCGGUGAAAUGCGUUGAUAUCAUGGGGAACACCGAAAGCGAAGGCAAGAGACUGGUCCACUCCUGACGCUGAAACACGAAAGCGUGGGUCGCGAAUGGG
rnacentral:rRNA from 1 species